rnacentral:rRNA from 1 species
UACGUAGGGCGCAAGCGUUGUCCGGAAUUAUUGGGCGUAAAGAGCUCGUAGGCGGCCUGUUGCGUCCGCUGUGAAAACCCGGGGCUUAACCCCGAGCCUGCAGUGGAUACGGGCAGACUAGAGGUAGGUAGGGGAGAAUGGAAUUCCUGGUGUAGCGGUGAAAUGCGCAGAUAUCAGGAAGAACACCCGUGGCGAAGGCGGCUCUCUGGGACGUGACUGACGCUGAGACGCGAAAGCGUGGGGAGCAAACAGG